rnacentral:rRNA from 1 species
GAUGAACGCUAGCUACAGGCUUAACACAUGCAAGUCGAGGGGAAACGACAUCGAAAGCUUGCUUUUGAUGGGCGUCGACCGGCGCACGGGUGAGUAACGCGUAUCCAACCUGCCCACCACUUGGGGAUAACCUUGCGAAAGUAAGACUAAUACCCAAUGAUAUCCCACGAAGGCAUCCGAAUGGGAUUAAAGAUUUAUCGGUGAUGGAUGGGGAUGCGUCUGAUUAGCUUGUUGGCGGGGUAACGGCCCACCAAGGCGACGAUCAGUAGGGGUUCUGAGAGGAAGGUCCCCCACAUUGGAACUGAGACACGGUCCAAACUCCUACGGGAGGCAGCAGUGAGGAAUAUUGGUCAAUGGGCGAGAGCCUGAACCAGCCAAGUAGCGUGCAGGAAGACGGCCCUAUGGGUUGUAAACUGCUUUUAUAGGGGAAUAAAGUGAGCCACGUGUGGUUUUUGCAUGUACCCUAUGAAUAAGGACCGGCUAAUUCCGUG